AGACUGACCCUGCUUGUGCCUGUGAACCAACCAACAAUCUCUGGCUGCAGCUCAGAAAGGACAAAAGAGAAUGGAUGAGGGAAACUUCCCAGGGCUUGUCUGGGUAUGCCCACAGUGGACUGGAGCCCAAAAUGCACACUGGAGGAAGUGGAUGGAGCCACGUGGAUGUCAUGCCUUAUGCAGGGGAGGAGCCUGCUCUCUUCAGCUCCUGUGGUAAUGUGGGAAUCGAUCUGUGAGGUGAGGACCUGUUAGCAGGAACCCCUCUUGCUUUGCUGAAAGUUUUAUUUUUCUUUUUGCCCUAUAAAACCCUGUUCUACUAACCCUUC
rnacentral:lncRNA from 1 species